GACAGGAAGAUGGACAAGGAAAAUGGAAGGUGGGAAAUGGAGGAGGGAGUGGAGAUGAGAAGAACCUUCCGAGCAGACAGUCCUGCCAGCUGCCUGGGCUCUGGGUAGGGUGUGGGCUCCACAGGCACCUCUGGGAGUCAGGGGAGUGAGUGGUGCUUAAAACCACAGGGAAGCUCAAAGCCACUUAGGGAGUCGUGGGCAGGGAAAGCAGCCUCAGAGACCCCAACUAUGUGCAAAGGAGGGAGGUGGGGAGGAGCUGCAGAGACUCACCGGGAGCACCCGAGGAGCCAGGGGGCAGGGGCCAUCACAGGCACCGUAGAACCUCCCCUGUCCAGGGAGAGCCACACAGGAGCUGUCCCCACAGGGGUUCCUCAUCUGCUUCCAGAGCCCCACCAUGGGCAGAGGGGCACAUGAGAGGCCCACCUGGGAGGGGAGGCCCACCUGGGAGGGAAGGGCCAGGAGGGUCCCAGAGCCCCCUUGGGGUCUCUGCAUCCAUCCUGUUCUUUCUCCUCUUUAGAUGGGAAAAGGAGGAGAGAGGGUGUUUCUGGGCUCUGUGCACCAGGUGACGGCUUGGUUGCUUUUCCUGCUUUCUCUCUAGUAACCCUCCAAGCCUCCCAAGAUAGCACCGCCGGGAAUCCCCAGCUGCAGACAGAGGGCUGGCAGCUCCCUGGGCUUAGGAGAUCUUCGCACAUCCCUUCUCUCCCAGGGUUCCCACCUUGCAGACAGGAGGAGGUGGCUGAGGCCCAGCCAGCGCCCCCCACAGCCUCGCAGCAGAUGGCUAAAGAGGAAGCCUGGCUCAGCUACACCUUGGGCCCACCAAGAAGGGACCACGCUCAAUGGUAGAAUGACACAUGGGUGCUCUAACGGAUUCUAGUUUUGUGAAGAUGAACAAGCUCUAAGCAGGAGGACUUACGGGAGGUCAGCGGCUGGUGGCCCCGGCAGAGCUAUCAUGGACCUGUUCCAUGAAGAAAGAGACACAGAUCUCUCUGUGGAAAGGUGCAGGCUCUGCUGCAGGAGGAAAAUGGCAACAAGAAGCCCAGCAGCACCUGUCCACUCCGACGUAGACGUAUCAGCUCCCUGCAUCUUACUGAGACACAGGAGCCAGAAGGGCCCUGAGGUUUUCAUCACAGUGCUCGCCCCAAGUGCCUCCCAGCUUUGUGUGAGAUGUGGAGGCAUGUGGCUUCAGGAGGUGGGAAAUGGAACAGACACGCUGCAGAGUCUGACGGGGCGCUGAGCUCCUUCACUGCUCUGCGGAGACAGGCUCGGGCCUCAUCUGUUAUUGGCCAAGGGAAGCAAGGAACCAGGGGAGGUGUGAGGCGUGCACCAGAGGCACCCCUUGAGUUAGGGACGAAAGCCUGGCAGAGCCUGGAGCUACGGCAUGUUUAAUCUUGGUGCAUGGGUGUCCGCAGGAGCAGAGGGCCCCUCCCAGAGUCAGAUCUGUGGUCUGUCCCGGGCGUCCUCCUGGGCAUCCUGGAGACUCACAACUCCCGGCCAUGGCUGUGGUCUUCUCCCUCUGUCCUU
rnacentral:lncRNA from 1 species